rnacentral:tRNA from 2 species
GCCCAAGUGGCGGAACUGGCAGACGCGCCGCACUCAAAAUGCGGUUCCUCGGAGUGUGGGUUCGAGUCCCACCUUGGGCACGA